AGACCCGAAACCCGGUGAUCUAGCCAUGGGCAGGUUGAAGGUUGGGUAACACUAACUGGAGGACCGAACCGACUAAUGUUGAAAAAUUAGCGGAUGACCUGUGGCUGGGGGUGAAAGGCCAAUCAAACCGGGAGAUAGCUGGUUCUCCCCGAAAGCUAUUUAGGUAGCGCCUCGUGAAUUCAUCUCCGGGGGUAGAGCACUGUUUCGGCUAGGGGGCCAUCCCGGCUUACCAACCCGAUGCAAACUGCGAAUACCGGAGAAUGUUAUCACGGGAGACACACGGCGGGUGCUAACGUCCGUCGUGAAGAGGGAAACAACCCAGACCGCCAGCUAAGGUCCCAAAGUCAUGGUUAAGUGGGAAACGAUGUGGGAAGGCCCAGACAGCCAGGAUGUUGGCUUAGAAGCAGCCAUCAUUUAAAGAAAGCGUAAUAGCUCACUGGUCGAGUCGGCCUGCGCGGAAGAUGUAACGGGGCUAAACCAUGCACCGAAGCUGCGGCAGCGACACUCAGGUGUUGUUGGGUAGGGGAGCGUUCUGUAAGCCUGUGAAGGUGUGUCGUGAGGCAUGCUGGAGGUAUCAGAAGUGCGAAUGCUGACAUAAGUAACGAUAAAGCGGGUGAAAAGCCCGCUCGCCGGAAGACCAAGGGUUCCUGUCCAACGUUAAUCGGGGCAGGGUGAGUCGACCCCUAAGGCGAGGCCGAAAGGCGUAGUCGAUGGGAAACGGGUUAAUAUUCCCGUACUUGGUGUUACUGCGAAGGGGGGACGGAGAAGGCUAUGUUGGCCGGGCGACGGUUGUCCCGGUUUAAGCGUGUAGGUGUGUGUUCCAGGUAAAUCCGGUUCACUUUAACACUGAGGCGUGACGACGAGGCACUACGGUGCUGAAGCAACAAAUGCCCUGCUUCCAGGAAAAGCCUCUAAGCAUCAGGUAACACGAAAUCGUACCCCAAACCGACACAGGUGGUCAGGUAGAGAAUACCAAGGCGCUUGAGAGAACUCGGGUGAAGGAACUAGGCAAAAUGGUGCCGUAACUUCGGGAGAAGGCACGCUGACACGUAGGUGAAGUGAUUUACUCAUGGAGCUGAAGUCAGUCGAAGAUACCAGCUGGCUGCAACUGUUUAUUAAAAACACAGCACUGUGCAAACACGAAAGUGGACGUAUACGGUGUGACGCCUGCCCGGUGCCGGAAGGUUAAUUGAUGGGGUCAGCGCAAGCGAAGCUCCUGAUCGAAGCCCCGGUAAACGGCGGCCGUAACUAUAACGGUCCUAAGGUAGCGAAAUUCCUUGUCGGGUAAGUUCCGACCUGCACGAAUGGCGUAAUGAUGGCCAGGCUGUCUCCACCCGAGACUCAGUGAAAUUGAACUCGCUGUGAAGAUGCAGUGUACCCGCGGCAAGACGGAAAGACCCCGUGAACCUUUACUAUAGCUUGACACUGAACAUUGAGCCUUGAUGUGUAGGAUAGGUGGGAGGCUUUGAAGCGUGGACGCCAGUCUGCGUGGAGCCGACCUUGAAAUACCACCCUUUAAUGUUUGAUGUUCUAACGUGGACCCGUAAUCCGGGUUGCGGACAGUGUCUGGUGGGUAGUUUGACUGGGGCGGUCUCCUCCUAAAGAGUAACGGAGGAGCACGAAGGUUGGCUAAUCCUGGUCGGACAUCAGGAGGUUAGUGCAAUGGCAUAAGCCAGCUUGACUGCGAGCGUGACGGCGCGAGCAGGUGCGAAAGCAGGUCAUAGUGAUCCGGUGGUUCUGAAUGGAAGGGCCAUCGCUCAACGGAUAAAAGGUACUCCGGGGAUAACAGGCUGAUACCGCCCAAGAGUUCAUAUCGACGGCGGUGUUUGGCACCUCGAUGUCGGCUCAUCACAUCCUGGGGCUGAAGUAGGUCCCAAGGGUAUGGCUGUUCGCCAUUUAAAGUGGUACGCGAGCUGGGUUUAGAACGUCGUGAGACAGUUCGGUCCCUAUCUGCCGUGGGCGCUGGAGAACUGAGGGGGGCUGCUCCUAGUACGAGAGGACCGGAGUGGACGCAUCACUGGUGUUCGGGUUGUCAUGCCAAUGGCACUGCCCGGUAGCUAAAUGCGGAAGAGAUAAGUGCUGAAAGCAUCUAAGCACGAAACUUGCCCCGA
rnacentral:rRNA from 1 species